AACCAGCAUAGCUCGACGGAGCGAAAAGCAGAGUCAUUACCUGCCUGGCUGGUUUCUUAUCGUAAUGG
rnacentral:sRNA from 1 species